AUACGGAGGGUCCGAGCGUUAAUCGGAAUUACUGGGCGUAAAGCGCGCGUGGGCGGCUAUAUAAGUCAGAUGUGAAAUCCCUGGGCUCAACCUAGGAACUGCAUUUGAAACUGUAUGGCUAGAGUAUGGUAGAGGUGAGUGGAAUUUCAGGUGUAGCGGUGAAAUGCAUAGAGAUCUGAAGGAACAUCAGUGGCGAAGGCGACUCACUGGGCCAUUACUGACGCUGAGGUGCGAAAGCGUGGGUAGCAAACAGGAUUAGAUACCCUGGUAGUCC
rnacentral:rRNA from 1 species